rnacentral:rRNA from 1 species
CGGAACACGUACGCAACCUUCCUUUAACUGGAGGAUAGCCCCUCGAAAGAGGGAUUAAUACUCCGUAACAUAUAGAUGUGGCAUCACAAUUAUAUUAUAGCUCCGGCGGUUAAAGAUGGGCGUGCGCCUGAUUAGAUAGUUGGUAGGGUAACGGCCUACCAAGUCUGCGAUCAGUAACUGGUGUGAGAGCACGACCAGUCACACGGGCACUGAGACACGGGCCCG